UGCCAGCUGGGGCCCCCGUGGGCCUGGUGGCUCCAUUUAGGCCCAGGCCUCUAGCUACUGGUUUGGGCUGUGCUGUGGCAGCUCUUCUGAUGUCCUCACUCUUCCUUCUGAAUGAAGCUGAGACCUGCGCUGAAGGAUGAGCUGCAAAGAUGGAAUGGCAAGCAGAUGCAGCAGUCUGCAUGUGGAGCCCCUCUGAUUUUUUGGGGGGACUAUUGCAUUUAAUCCCAGGAUUAAGCUGUCUAAAGGUUGGUGUUACAAUGCCAUUAUAAAAGCAGUCCUUCAGCUUUUGCUAUGGCCCUGGGUGACCUGGCUUGGGUGCUCCUUGGUCCAGUUCAGCCUUCAAGCUUCUGCCUCCUGUUUCUGCCUCGGCUCUUCCAUGCUGCAGGGGCAGCUUCUGCCUGCUCCUGUGCUCCCAGCAGGACCUCAUCUCCCUGGGGCAGAGAAAAUGGGAAAUGGUUAACUCAUGUGGAGAGCCUGCAAAAUCAGUUCUCUGCUCAGUCACUUGUACAGCCAGAAAGGCUUCAAAUUUUGUUUGUAGUGUAAAAGACUCUUAACUGCCUGCUUUAGUCCAUACCGUUGCAGUACACUGUAAUUUGAAUUACUGUUUGGUUUUCUGUGCUACAGUUGCUGACAGCUCCAUACAGAAUCCUGGUUUUAAUGUUCAUUUCAAUAUUUAAUUACUCUGUAAUAUCACAAUAAUUACUGUGUAUUUACAGAGGAAUUGCAUGGCUGUCUGUACUCUGUAAACCAGUGUUGACCUCAUCUGCAAACAAAUAAUUAUGCAGCAAACAUACCUGUUUAACUUAAACAGUUAUUAGCAGAGAAUCAGGAGAAAUGUAGAAAGUGCUGUUGAUUCUUUCAUAAUGCCAUGUACAAAAUUCUUUAGUUCCUUGAUUUCUUUUACUGACAGAACAUUAGAUGAUACAAACUGGUACCAGGAAAAAUAUUUCUAUAGCGUUAAAUGCUGAUAGAGCUACCUCUGAAGGCACCAUAUAAAUACGCAGUGCUUCCUAGCCCUUUAUUUCUACAGCUGGCGAUCAAGCAAAUGGAAACAUUUCCAAACAACUUCAUGUGUGCUCUGGUUGUGUCUCUGCAUUUGGGGGCCUGUUCUAGGAAUUUGGAGGAAAACCACAAGGUGGCAAUGUGCACAAGGAAAUAAAGCCACCCAGAUCUGCCUUGAAGCCACAGCACUUAAAGAUGGAAUUAAUCAGCCUCGAGAUCUAACAGAGCUCCUGUGUUACAGGUAGGAUUUCAAGCAUCUUUUCCACUUUAGAAGGAUUUUAACUAAGAGUAUAUGUAAUGGCAAAUAUCUCUGUACUGCUUUGUUUCAUGCUGGUGGAUAUCUGCAGUAAAUGUUUUUUUCUUUCCUUUAGGUUCAGAUGCUCCCCAGUGAGUACUGGGGAAAAUGUUUUAUUGUCACCAGUCCCCUGCCUGGUCAUCUGUCCUGGUGCACCUGUCCAUGCUCCAAGUGUGGGGAUGCUGAGCACCUUCUUGACCCACUGACACCUUUCCCAUCCCUUCCUUGCUUUGGGUUAUCCUGAGCUGCGGGAGCAGCCUGUGCCUGGCUCUGACUUCUGCACCCAUCGAGUGGAAUGCUGAGAAGGGAUGGGCAAAAUAGUGCUUGGGCUGGUUUGAGGAAACCUGGCUUCCCUGUCAGUGUGUCUCUGAGGUGAGGGGUCAGACCUCUGUGUCUUGAUGCAGGACUGAGAAACAGAGCAAAACCUACCCUGCUUUGGCUUGUUGGAAGAUGUAUGUGAGCUGCAGGGAAUUCUGAAAUCAAAGCUCAGUGAUCACCUUCCUCAUAGGAAUGUUUUUUCUUAAGGAAAUAUGAUGCUCAAUGUCCCUGUUGCCAGGUCCUUCAAAGCAGGCCUGUUUUGUACUCAGCCCUGUUAUGUACCCAGUCCCUGAGGGAAGGCGCGUACUUCUCUUCCUGCUUUCUUUUUGGAAGUCAGCUCAUCCACCUGCAGCACAGAGAGCAAAAUCAGUAGGAUUUAACUUUUGCAUACAUGCUUCUUGAGGUGCAAGCUGAGGCAUUAAGGUGUGUUGGUGGGAUGUGAUUUGGUCUGGUGCAAUCUGGCACAACAAGUGCAGUGAGUUACUGUUUGCUGAUCCGGGGGCUUCGUGCUCCCUGUCUCCAUAGCUCUGCCUGGAGGAGCCCUGUCGGGAAGCUGGCUGUACCCGCUGCCCUCCAACAGCAGGUGGCAUCGUGGCAGAGUGCCCUGGAGGGAGCUCAGCUUUGGGACUUUCUGGGCAUGGUUCCAUGCAAUAAUAUCUUUUCCCACCAGUUGUGACAGAUCUAAACUUCACUUCACAUUGGAAGCUUAAAAAGGAACUGUUU